AAAGCGGAAGCAUCCUUCCUCAUUCACCCAGAGUGAUGGCGUCUGAAGUGAGAGGAGAGCAGAACCAGUGCCUGCCUCUACCACAGUACCUGAUCUGAGGAAGUUCCAAGUGAGCCAAGUUGGAACCAUGAAGGUCAUGUGUCCACAAUGCUGACUGAUCAGCGAUUGAUCUGAGAAAAUCACCACUGCACUGCUACCAGCUACAUUGAGGGGUACCAUAACCAGACUGAAAAAUAAACCACCAGGUACCAAAACAGAGUAAAGUACCAAUCCUAUUCAAGAUUAAAAACAGUGAUAUUCAAAAGCAGCUAUAAGAGCAGACACUGAGAACUUUAUUAAAUUGCACGGCAGUGAUCGAGAUGUCCACCGGAUCUUGACACCUGGAUACUUUGAUGUGAUGAACACCUCCAUAGUUUAUCUCAUCCCACAUGCCAUGUCCUGCACUAUGCGGCAAAUAAUGAUAAACUAUUUUUUUGCUGAGAAUGUGUCCAAUAAUUUAUUGGAUUUCAACUUUUUGAUGGCACAAGACAAGUGUAUUUGAAAUGCUAAACUCAAGCUACAAAACUGUGAUAUUUUCAGUGGUGCUUAAGCUAACAGUUACAAAAUGAAAAUAAUAUCUCUGGAUGUAGAAGCGAUGAACGUCAUUACCCAAAUUAUGUUAUAAUAUUAAAAUAAAUAUUUUCUGCAGUAUGAGAAGGCUGAUCCAACUACCACUCUGAUCCUACGGAAUAUCAUCUGUGUAUCAGAUCCAAUAGGGGUUUUGUCAUCUUAGUAUACAUAAUGUUGCACCUUCUUCUACAAGUUUAUAGCUGGUUUGCCUGUCAUGUGACCUCCUAGUCACUUCUGUGCAACCAUCCCAUACUUACCAACAUUUCAGUUGGUAAAAUCAGGGCAUAUAAGCCCCACCCCCAGGAA